rnacentral:RNase_P_RNA from 2 species
ACAGCUCCAAAGCCGCGAUGCUCACCACAUACUGGACUGCUUCGCGCAUCCUCGUUUCUGAGCGGGCUAAGGUCUGAGCAUUCCAGUUCCCCUCGAUCGACUCUCGCAGGGUCCAGCGUCAAUCACGCUGAGCGGCACACCAGAAAUACAGCACGCAGUCUCACUGAUCCCAAGAUCCUCCUCGGAGGGGAGGUUCGAGGCUGUGCGGCUUUGGGAUAUGCCGCGGGAACCGGGCGGGGCGUUAUGCGUGCCCCUUUGCGGGCAUGCUGUCCGAUAUCGAUCGCAUGCACAUUCUAGUCUAUCGCGCGUUUUGGUGCCUACCCGGGCGCACGGAGGGAACAAGAGACGUUCUAAACAGAACGGCUGCCGGUAAAGACGGCAGGAUUCAGGUGCUGUUGCACAUAGUCCUGAGAACGAUACGUACCGGUAUCGUUCGGCAAACCGUAUGGUGAAGGCUGGUCCCACACGACCAGUGAGCCGCAGCUCCACAAGCUUUUCCAGUCUAGGGGCAGCACCCCUCUGUUAGGGCCACGCCCUGUCGACGUCGACCAGACCAGUCACUCGACCAUGCACGCAUGCAUGUACAAGAACAACGAACGAACACCGUUUAUAGACUGCUGCAGGAAACUUCAGCAAGCUUCACCUUGCCAUCAUGAAAUUAUUCGCCUCCCUCCGGACAACGAGACGCGGACGAGGAAGUUUUGUGUGCAUGCAUCAUGUUGGUGUCGGGACGCCCCGUUCUUUAGUUCACUUCGCGGCUCGUGUUAAUGGUCUUCGGAUCUUCACGAAACUCGAUUCAGACUACUCUGGGGCUGU